AAGUCGUAACAAGGUUUCCGUAGGUGAGCCUGCGGAAGGAUCAUUACAGUAGUCACCCGGGGCGCCGCAAGGCCUCCCGGGUAACCUACCACCCUUUGUUUAUUACACUUUGUUGCUUUGGCAGGCCUGCCCUCGGGCUGCUGGCUCCGGCCGGCGAGCGCUUGCCAGAGGACCUAAACUCUGUUUGUCUAUACUGUCUGAGUACUAUAUAAUAGUUAAAA
rnacentral:misc_RNA from 1 species